AUAUCUUUCUCGGCCUUUUGGCUAAGAUCAAGUGUAGUAUCAGUUCUUAUUAGUUUAAUAUCUGAUACGUGGGCCAAUGGCCCACAACCAUAUUAAAUUAAUUUUUUAACGGGGAAAGCUCACUGCAGUUGCUUGCAACUGGGGUUUUUGCGCGACGCCCAUGCGUUGCACUAUUGCACGGGUCAGGCGCACCCCAC